rnacentral:rRNA from 1 species
GGGUUGUGAGGUUAAGCGACUAAGCGUACACGGUGGAUGCCCUGGCAGUCAGAGGCGAUGAAGGACGUGCUAAUCUGCGAUAAGCGUCGGUAAGGUGAUAUGAACCGUUAUAACCGGCGAUUUCCGAAUGGGGAAACCCAGUGUGAUUCGUCACACUAUCAUUAACUGAAUCCAUAGGUUAAUGAGGCGAACCGGGGGAACUGAAACAUCUAAGUACCCCGAGGAAAAGAAAUCAACCGAGAUUCCCCCAGUAGCGGCGAGCGAACGGGGAGCAGCCCAGAGCCUGAAUCAGUGUGUGUGUUAGUGGAAGCGUCUGGAAAGGCGUGCGAUACAGGGUGACAGCCCCGUACACAAAAAUGCACAUACUGUGAGCUCGAUGAGUAGGGCGGGACACGUGGUAUCCUGUCUGAAUAUGGGGGGACCAUCCUCCAAGGCUAAAUACUCCUGACUGACCGAUAGUGAACCAGUACCGUGAGGGAAAGGCGAAAAGAACCCCGGCGAGGGGAGUGAAAAAGAACCUGAAACCGUGUACGUACAAGCAGUGGGAGCACGCUUAGGCGUGUGACUGCGUACCUUUUGUAUAAUGGGUCAGCGACUUAUAUUCUGUAGCAAGGUUAACCGAAUAGGGGAGCCGAAGGGAAACCGAGUCUUAACUGGGCGUUAAGUUGCAGGGUAUAGACCCGAAACCCGGUGAUCUAGCCAUGGGCAGGUUGAAGGUUGGGUAACACUAACUGGAGGACCGAACCGACUAAUGUUGAAAAAUUAGCGGAUGACUUGUGGCUGGGGGUGAAAGGCCAAUCAAACCGGGAGAUAGCUGGUUCUCCCCGAAAGCUAUUUAGGUAGCGCCUCGUGAAUUCAUCUCCGGGGGUAGAGCACUGUUUCGGCAAGGGGGUCAUCCCGACUUACCAACCCGAUGCAAACUGCGAAUACCGGAGAAUGUUAUCACGGGAGACACACGGCGGGUGCUAACGUCCGUCGUGAAGAGGGAAACAACCCAGACCGCCAGCUAAGGUCCCAAAGUCAUGGUUAAGUGGGAAACGAUGUGGGAAGGCCCAGACAGCCAGGAUGUUGGCUUAGAAGCAGCCAUCAUUUAAAGAAAGCGUAAUAGCUCACUGGUCGAGUCGGCCUGCGCGGAAGAUGUAACGGGGCUAAACCAUGCACCGAAGCUGCGGCAGCGACGCUUAUGCGUUGUUGGGUAGGGGAGCGUUCUGUAAGCCUGUGAA